rnacentral:tRNA from 1 species
ACCAGGGUGGCCGAGUGGUUAAGGCGUUGGACUUAAGAUCCAAUGGAGAUAUGCCCGCGUGGGUUCGAACCCCACGCCGGGUA